UUGUUGCAUCGGUACGAUAACGACGAGCACACAUUCCACACUUUCGGCUUGUGUUAUUCUUUGAUAUUAGUUCGGAAAAUCGCGUUGUAUUUCCUGAUCGCCGGUGAUAGUUAGUGUUAAUAAACUAGUUUAUUCACGUGUUUGUGAGUCUAUUGCCGUCGGACGACGCACGGCCAUGUUUUGUGAUCGCCAAUAAUUAAUUGACUUGGGACUAAUGGGGGACUAAUGGGACUAAUGUGCUACAUGUUUCUAUCAACAUGUCUUCGAUUUAUGGUUUUUGCAUAACUGUAUCUAUCAACAUAUCUUCGAUUUACGGUUUUGCAUAACUGUGCUUCUUUUGAUUACCCUGUGUUUCGGUAAGUUGUAAAAUAUUAUUACAUCAUUAUCACAUUGAUGUCUUUAGUCGCAUGUAACGAGAGUACCGUAAUACUCGUAAGUCAAAAUUGUCGCGUGCCGUCGACUGCGUUUUCGAUCUUGCCUGUGAAUGUGGUUUUCACUGUUAUUAUCAGCUCUUAUUGUUCUUUUGCAUUCAAAAUACUGUAAUCGCGAUAACGCGUUUAAAAACAAUUUCAAUAUCUUAACGCAAAUCGUGUAUCAUGCCGUUGGUUAGCACUUUUCUAUGGUUGAGCCGUAUCAGGAGACCGCGUCGCAAAGAAAAUCUAAAUAUGCAAUAAAAUUCAUUAUGGUGUUUUAUUCUUAUAAAACAAUUGUAUAUAUAUCAUCAUCAUACCUUCUCUACUUUUACUUUUCUUAAAUAUUUUCUCCCGCUUUGGUAUUGUAUUAGUAGUUGCUAGUUGUAUUUCUGUUGUGUUGCCUUCUUUUCACUUUUCUUUGAUAUUCGUUGGGAAACUUGUAAAAUUUUGCAUUUGUUAAUUUUGUUGAUUAUU